rnacentral:tRNA from 1 species
CGUCAAUAACUUAGCUUUGGCACGGCACCUUCACACGGUGGAAGUCGUAGGUUCGAAUCCUGCUGUGCCCACCA